CCAGCAUUUGAUGUCCUGCGUUUUUUCCCGCCACCUAUCCUACUGCUGCUCCCAGCCAUAUGUGGAGUUUUAGACACAGAGAGGUUGUUGGUUCCAGCGACAUGUGAAUUUGCCAAGUUUGCACCGCGUCCCCCAAUGUUCAUCACGUUGCUGCCACCGGCCACAUGUGGAGUUUUAGACACAGUGAGGUUGUUGCUUCCAGCCACAUGUGCAUUUGUCAGGUUUGUACCACUUCCCCCAGUGUUCAUCACCUUGCUGCCCCAAGCCGCAUUUGGAGUUUUAGACACAGUGAGGUUGUUGCUUCCAGCUACAUGUGCAUUUGCCAAGUU
rnacentral:lncRNA from 1 species